rnacentral:rRNA from 1 species
GGAUGCGAUCAUACCAGCACUAAAGCACCGGAUCCCAUCAGAACUCCGAAGUUAAGCGUGCUUAGGCGAGAGUAGUACUAGGAUGGGUGACCUCCUGGGAAGUCCUCGUGUUGCAAUCC